CUAUAUUCAAUCAGAAAAGUAACAAGGAAUUGUUUUCAGGGAGCUCGUGGUGAUUGCGAACGAGUAGCAUGAACUUGCGAAAUUGGACUGAUGAGACAGAGUGAAGCGAAGUUAUAAGCUUCAGGUGUGCACCCCUUACCGUGCAACUCCUUGUUUGAGGAGAAUGAGAUGACGGGUCUAUUCUAUUUUCCCCGUUAAUUGAGGUGGUACCGCGCUAAUGCAUUUAGACGCCCUCGCA
rnacentral:ncRNA from 1 species